ensembl:lncRNA
ACACCCCUGAAGGUUGCUGCAGGAGAGACCUCCAAACACACCCCUGAAGGUUGCUGCAGGAGAGACCUCCAAACACACCCCUGAAGGUUGCUGCAGGAGAGACCUCCAAACACACCCCUGAAGGUUGCUGCAGGAGAGACCUCCAAACACAACCCUGAAGGUUGCUGCAGGACAGGCCUGGCAGAAGAUCUGGCUAACCAUAGAUUCUACCGGAGGAUCCUGAGCUCAGCACAGAACCCGCUGAUAUCCUGUCCUUUAAACUCAGGAACAAACUCUUCAUACCGCCCGACUGUUCGACCACCUGCACGCUACAAUACAAAUGUAUUAAUCCCCCACAUGUGGAGUGUUCAGGUCUGACAAGAUACUAAAAGUCCACAGCCGCCGCAGUUUAGCCCUGCCGUUAAUAUCUCCAGAGCGGGCCUGGGUCCUCCUUCCGGGUCCGGUUGACUUGGACCAGGGCUCCCGGGUGCAGUGUGACUCAUGGGACGGCGGAGGCGGUAUCCAAGGUGAGCAGACAGAAGUGCGGGUUCAGGACACGGAGGCGGUCCCUCGGGAUGUCUCGAGGACUUCCGCCCGGCCGCUCUGAGAAUGAGGCCCGAUCUCGGAGAGCAGGUGUUCACAAUGGCUCCGAGGAGGUUCCUGUUCUAAAAAGGGAGAGGUGUGAACGAGCGUAUGCAGGAUAAGGGG